rnacentral:tRNA from 1 species
GCGACGUAGCCAAGUGGUCUAAGGCCGGGGUCUGCAAAACCUCUAUUCGCGGGUUCGAAUCCCGCCGUCGC